CACCCACAACGCUUGCGCUCAAGUUACUUUUGCAGCUUGUUCUCGGACUAACCGAGUGAGAAGGCGGCCAACGGCUGGCUCCUUACCUGUGCCGAAGGUCUCCUUGUUGAGGUGCUUCCAGCCGAGAGAGACCUUGGUUUCCAUGGCAGCGGCGGCGGCGACGGCAGCGGCAGGGGACGCCUCGCAACGAAGAGCGGCGCUGGCAAAGUCUGCGGCAGCGAAUGGUGGUGGUGGUGGCGCGACCUCGGCUAACCUAAGCCGCCGGCUCUAUCAAGCGGGCAUGCAGCGGCCAGGCGCCGACCUCCGCCACACACAGAGCGCAGCACGCGCUCGACACAUAUCUGCCCACUGACCGGCACACAAUUGCUCUCCUCACAAAUCACAAUCUUUCCCAAUUUACCGCCGACUCUGUCGCGAAGCUCACGCUUCAGCUCCGACAGAUGCGCACAUACUCAGCUAAUAGCUCCACACCUUACACUCAGCUGCCAUUGUAGAGAGUCGGAGGGUACAGCUACUUCCUUAAGUUCAAUUCACGAAUUGAACGUGAGAAAGUGCUACCAGUCUUUAGUUACUAUCAUUGUCCCUACAGGAAAACUACGUGACGUAAGAAGCUGAAGAACUUUUUCUUUGGGACUUUUUGAAACUAUUAAGAGGUAUUUCAUCUACAGGUCACGAAAGUGGCAUCAUUACCGGUUUCGAUCUUAUGAUCAACUCGUCAUUAGAUGAAGAGUGGAAAUGUCAACACUGUAAGUGCCAUUUCUCCACAAAAUGCGUUUUCAAAUUUGUUGCGUUUUCCGUACUCUGUAGCACGUCCCUACAUUCGUUCCAAGUUCCAAAUCAUGGAGAGGAUGUUGCGAACAUUUGUCACUAGAUGGCGCAUAGUCUUUGUGCGAAGCAGUGCUUCCCUCUGGAGUUCGAAAUAUCAAUGUAUUCUCCAAUUUCAUGUAGUUUGUGUGGUAAUCAGAGAGCUUGUAAACAGUUGUUUGUAUCAGUAAAACAUCUUUGUAACGGAAAGAAAUACUUUGGGUUUCAAAAACAGUAAAAAAAGUUAGAGAAUGAACACACAAAAAACAACGUGUGUCUUGUGUCUGGAAAAUGUUAAGAAAGCCAUUUCUUCCUUAGCAGUGCAGGAAGUUCAGCAGUAAACUUUACAUCUAAACUCAAGUUGGCAGUGUGUAAGAAACAUACAUCAAUACUGAAAGUUUUUUUUUCCC